UGGGGAAUUUUGCGCAAUGGGGGAAACCCUGAUGCAGCGACGCCGCGUGAUUUAGAAGGCCUUCGGGUUGUAAAAAUCUUUUCUAUGGGAAGAAAAUGACAGUACCAUAGGAAUAAGGACCGGCUAAUUACGUGCCAGCAGCCGCGGUAAUACGUAAGGUCCGAGCGUUGUCCGGAAUCAUUGGGCGUAAAGGGUACGUAGGCGGGUAAGCAAGUUAGAAGUGAAAUCCUAUAGCUCAACUAUAGUAAGCUUUUAAAACUGCUCAUCUUGAGGUAUGGAAGGGAAAGUGGAAUUCCUAGUGUAGCGGUGAAAUGCGCAGAUAUUAGGAGGAAUACCGGUGGCGAAGGCGACUUUCUGGCCAUAACCUGACGCUGAGGUACGAAAGCGUGGGUAGCAAACAGG
rnacentral:rRNA from 1 species